CGUGAAAUGGCGCAUGCAUUAUUGAAAAGAGGUGGCAGUCAUAGCUGAAGUAUAGCAGUAUAGCGCCAGAGAUUGUUCAUCAUCGGCCGAUUGAACUAAAUUGUUUCAAAUUCUACUGACAAACGUGUUUGCUCACCUUGCUGGUUAUUCCUCAAAUAAAUGGCCCAGUAUCUUCCGUCAAGAGCCGCCGUCGUCUUUCUAGCGGCCGUUUUGCAGUUUUACUCCGGCCCAGCCACUAGUGCUGGCAACCGAGUCCCGAAAACGCAAAACGGAAAGGUUCGCGCCAACUUUGGACGAAACAACCCGAAAUGACUGUCAGACAAGGAAAGAAUUAGCGGAAGAAAGCGACAGCCAGAUGAGAAUGAUUAACAGUGACGCAACUACUAAAGAGAACCAGUACAACCAGCAGGAAUGCUGGCAGUGGAAUCAAGUCGGCAUCGUCAGCUGGGGCUUUUGUGCGAACAAGAAUCUAUCGGGGGGUUUAAUACCCUCGAGCGACGUCGUUCGGGUCCUGGAUCAAGAAAGAAAUGAUGACGCACAAGAUCAACAUUUAACGGUCGUUGUUAUCUCGGGUUGGCUGGUGAGGACCCACUUCCAGAAAUCUUUUGAGCUGAUAAUUAUUAACUAAAGGCAAAGGACUCGUUGGACCGCACUGUACCGCAAUUAUUUCAUUUUGCAUUACUGCAGGUCCACAUUGGCUGUCCUGGAACGUCAUCACCCAAAAGAAAAGUGUCCAAUCAGAAUUCCAGCCGGCGAGACAGUGCUCAGCGUCAAGGCUUCGUCUUGUCUAGCAUCAGUCUUAUCGUGUAGUAUUAAAAAUAACUUGCUGCUUGCCUUGAGCUGUCUGCUGGUAUGCCUGCGAGAAAGCAAGAAACAAUGAGGCGAUAAACCCUCAGCUGUUUGAUUGGCAGUCUGCUGUAUGGCGGUUUGUGGGCCAGAGCGUAACAGCCGCUUCUAUUUCAAUUCUGCUAACUCCAUCAAAGAAAAUCACGAACGGUCCCGAACUUUAGGAUAUGCGACAGUAGUUGCUGGGCGACGUUAAAACCGAGGACGCGAAUCGAAAGUUGCACGACAUCAGUUUCGAAAGUUUAUAUUGUCGUGUUUCAUUCAAACAUCAUUUAAAGGAUAUCACAACUCAAGUAAUUCCCGAGUAAUUCUAGACUUGUGAAGAUGACGAGUGAAGUGCCAAACAGUGUAACCAGCCUGGAUAUUCUUAUAUUCGUCUGAAUACAAUUCGAAAUCAAGGUAAGAAAAAACAAUAUUGAAUUAAUUGCCUCCGACGAAAACAUUUGAAAUCGUUGCGGUUCUGUGAGUUGCCAAUAGAGUCAAACUUCAUGGUAUUUGAACAGACUUUUCUUUAAAAUUUUUCUCUGUAAUUUUGCAAUAUUUUUAACGACUUCCCCGUCCCACCCUUUUAUUUUUGCUCUAAGGAAAGCCUAUCUAGCAAGGAAAAAACAAUGAAAUAAAAAUGAAAUAAAAAAUAAAAGCAAAUUGUUGUCCGAGUUUCGGACCCCUUGAUUCUUGUUGAAAUUGAAUUUGGAUUCGAUAGGCGUCAUUUCUUUCUUGAUCAAGGGCAGGAACGACGUCACUCUAGCAUAAACGCCAGCUGACGAUGCCGGCCUGAAUCCAUUGGCAAUCCUUUUUACGAUUCCCAACCGGUUUAGCAGCUUUGAUUGUGUUGUUUUCGUCGAGGUCGUUUGAUUCGAUCACCAUUGGACCUCCGCUAUCCCCCUGGCCA